rnacentral:rRNA from 1 species
UACAGAGGUCUCAAGCGUUGUUCGGAUUCAUUGGGCGUAAAGGGUGCGUAGGCGGCGCGGUAAGUCGGGUGUGAAAUCUCGGAGCUUAACUCCGAAACUGCAUUCGAUACUGCCGUGCUUGAGGACUGGAGAGGAGACUGGAAUUUACGGUGUAGCGGUGAAAUGCGCAGAAUAUCAGGAAGAACACCCGUGGCGAAGGCGGCUCUCGUGGGACGGUACUGACGGCUGAGACGCGAAAGCGUGGGGAGCGAACAGG